rnacentral:pre_miRNA from 1 species
CAAACCGCCAAAGUGUCUGUGAAAUGUUUCGAUUAUCAAAUUAAAAAUAUCGAUCUGAUAAAAUUUUCAUAUCACAGCCAGCUUUGGUGAGUUUGG